UACGAAGGUCCCAAGCGUUUAUCCGGAUUUAUUGGGUUUAAAGGGUGCGUAGGCGGCCUAUUAAGUCAGUGGUGAAAGCCCCAAGCUUAACUUGGGAACUGCCAUUGAUACUGAUGGGCUUGAGUAGAUUUGAGGCGGGCGGAAUGUGUCGUGUAGCGGUGAAAUGCUUAGAUAUGACACAGAACACCAAUUGCGUAGGCAGCUCGCUAAACUCUUACUGACGCUGAGGCACGAAAGCAUGGGGAUCAAACAGG
rnacentral:rRNA from 1 species